rnacentral:lncRNA from 1 species
GUUUAAGUAAGCGGUACCCGACCCGAGUCUUAUCUUCCUACCUUAUUCGAGUUGAAAAGCGGUAUGCGGUCUUGAACUGCAUCUUCUUUCUCUCGAAUAGGAGUAAGGUGGUGUAGUCCAGAGUUGGAUCUUCUUGCUUACCCUAGAUAUGAGAGAUAUAAAUUUUUCAUACUCUAUACUAAAACCAAUCAAACACAUCAAAUAUUUCCUAUCUAAGAACUACGUAGUCUUGAUUUCCCUAUUGCACCUAGGGAUACGCAGGAGCAAGAAGAAUCAUUGUCAGGC